rnacentral:misc_RNA from 1 species
ACAACAGCAUCAACCCCACCAAAAAGAUCUGUAUUCAUCUGACUCAACCGCAGAAUGUCAUCAGCAGGGGACACUGUUUUCUUUCUGAGGGCACCAAUAUCCCAAACACGGACAGUCUGAUCUAGAGAGGCCGAAACAACGAGGUCUUCUUUAGGAUGGAAUGAUGCACACAUGACAUAAUGAUUGUGGCCUGUCAACACAGAAAUGCAAGUGCGUGACUGCCAGUUCCAAAUACGGAUUGUCUGAUCGUCACUGGCACUCACAAUCCAUGGGUACUC